GGUUUUUUGGUUAGGAAUUUAAGGUUUGACCUGCCCAAUGAUUAAUUUAAUGGCCGCGGUAUUGUGACCGUGCAAAGGUAGCAUAAUCAUUAGUCUUUUAAUUGAGGGCUUGUAUGAAUGGUUGGACGAGGAGGGGACUGUCUUCAAAUGAAGUUUUGUUAUUUGAAUUUUACCUUUAAGUGAAAAGGCUUAAAUGGUCUUGAGGGGCGAUAAGACCCUAUAGAUCUUUACAUUGUUGUUGUAUUAAAGUGUAAUGAGAUACAAUGUUAGGUUGGGGCGACAGGAAGAAAAGGAUAACUUUUUGGGUAUGGGGUUACUAUUUUGUAUAUUGAAGAUCCACGAUUAUAGUGAUUAUGAGACUAAGUUACCUUAGGGAUAACAGCGUAAUCUUUUUUGAGAGUUCAUAUCGAGAGAAGGGAUUGCGACCUCGAUGUUGGAUUAAGGUUUCCUUGUGGUGUAGAAGUUGCAGGGGAGGGUCUGUUCGACCUUUAAAUCCUUACA
rnacentral:rRNA from 1 species